GUCUUCUUCCUCUUCUUCUUCUUUGUUUU
rnacentral:sRNA from 1 species